AAGCUGCUGGGAUUCACUGUGGAUGAGAACUGUUGGAUUUAAUACUCCUGCUGUUCACCGAGCAGUAAAAGACAGAGACUCAUUGUUCCUGCUGCAAAUCCAGGCUUACCUCUGCAAGAGAGCUGUUUCAGUCUAUAACUCCUCUUGUGUCUCUGGAAGUCCUGGGUCUCCCGAGAGUGGAAACAAACCAAUAGACUUCCUCAGAGCGGUUCACUGAGUGCUCCCUGUCCCCCU